AGAACGAACGCUGGCGGCAUGCCUAACACAUGCAAGUCGAACGCUUACGAGGGUUUCGGCCCUUGUGGGAGUGGCGCACGGGUGAGUAGCGCGUGGGAACCUGCCCCUUUGUGGGGGAUAACCGAGGGAAACUUCGGCUAAUACCGCAUGCGCCCGGAGUGAUCCGGGAAAAGAUUUAUCGCAGAGGGAGGGGCCCGCGUCGGAUUAGCUAGUUGGUGGGGUAACGGCCUACCAAGGCGAUGAUCCGUAGCUGGUCUGAGAGGAUGAUCAGCCACACUGGGACUGAGACACGGCCCAGACUCCUACGGGAGGCAGCAGUGGGGAAUAUUGGACAAUGGGCGCAAGCCUGAUCCAGCAAUGCCGCGUGAGUGAUGAAGGCCUUAGGGUUGUAAAGCUCUUUCGGCGGGACGAUGAUGACGGUACCCGCAGAGAAGCCCGGCUAACUUCGUGCCAGCACGCCGC
rnacentral:rRNA from 1 species